CGGGAUCAGUUAUUAUAACUAUCUAUAGGGUUAAUUUAAUUUUUUGAAAGCUUCGGCUAUUANCGAUUUACUCGCAUAAACUUCCAUACAAAAUACAGAUGAUGACUAUUUUUGUAUGACAGUCUUGGCCAAAACACGUGCCAGCAGCCGCGGCAACACGGGAUUAGACGAGUGUUAUUCAUCUUUAAUAGGUUUAAAGGGUACCUAGACAGCAGAUUUAGCCCCCACUGAGUUGGAACGGUACUUUUCUGCUAGAGUUUUAUGUGAGAGGGAUUUAGUACUAACAGAGUAGAGAUGAAAUUUUUUGAUACUGUAGGGCACUGAUAACGGCGAAGGCAGACCUUUAUGUAAAAACUGACGUUGAGGGACGAAGGCUUGGGUAACAAACAGGAUUAGGUACCCUAAUAGUCCAAGCAGAGACUGAUGAGUGCCAUAGAUUAGAUAAUUAUUGGUCUAUAAAUGAAAGUGAAAGCACUCCACCUUAAGAGUAAUGCGGCAACGCAGGAACUGAAAUCAUUAGACCGUUUCUGAUACCAGUAGUGAAGUAUGUUGUUCAAUUCGAUGAUCCACGAAAAAUCUUACCACAAUUUGAAUAUUAUAGCAGCUAUAGGAAAGUCUUUUAUACAAUUAAAAGAAUGUAAGUGCUAUUUAUACAGGUGUUGCAUGGCUGUUUUUAGUUGGUGUCGUGAGAUAUAGGUUAACUCCUAUGUAAUCAACGUGAACCCUUA
rnacentral:rRNA from 1 species